rnacentral:rRNA from 1 species
AUUGAACGCUGGCGGCAGGCCUAACACAUGCAAGUCGAGCGGAUGACGGGAGCUUGCUCCUUGAUUCAGCGGCGGACGGGUGAGUAAUGCCUAGGAAUCUGCCUGGUAGUGGGGGACAGCGUUUCGAAAGGAACGCUAAUACCGCAUACGUCCUACGGGAGAAAGCAGGGGACCUUCGGGCCUUGCGCUAUCAGAUGAGCCUAGGUCGGAUUAGCUAGUUGGUGGGGUAAUGGCUCACCAAGGCGACGAUCCGUAACUGGUCUGAGAGGAUGGUCAGUCACACUGGAACUGAGACACGGUCCAGACUCCUACGGGAGGCAGCAGUGGGGAAUAUUGGACAAUGGGCGAAAGCCUGAUCCAGCCAUGCCGCGUGUGUGAAGAAGGUCUUCGGAUUGUAAAGCACUUUAAGUUGGGAGGAAGGGCAGUAAGCUAAUACCUUGCUGUUUUGACGUUACCGACAGAAUAAGCACCGGCUAACUCUGUGCCAGCCGCCGCAGUAAUAC